AUUGAACGCUGGCGGCAUGCCUUACACAUGCAAGUCGAACGGCAGCACGGGAGCUUGCUCCUGGUGGCGAGUGGCGAACGGGUGAGUAAUACAUCGGAACGUACUCUGAAGUGGGGGAUAACGUAGCGAAAGUUACGCUAAUACCGCAUAUUCUGUGAGCAGGAAAGAGGGGGAUCGCAAGACCUCUUGCUUUAGGAGCGGCCGAUGUCGGAUUAGCUAGUUGGUGAGGUAAAGGCUCACCAAGGCGACGAUCCGUAGCGGGUCUGAGAGGAUGAUCCGCCACACUGGGACUGAGACACGGCCCAGACUCCUACGGGAGGCAGCAGUGGGGAAUUUUGGACAAUGGGCGCAAGCCUGAUCCAGCCAUGCCGCGUGAGUGAAGAAGGCCU
rnacentral:rRNA from 1 species